CUCAAGCGCGUCAAGUAAUCGUUUGAGCUCAAGGAGAUCCCGGUGGUGAUCAUGUCGUUGGCGAACGUGCCCAACCGGAUCAGGCGUUGCAUGGAGGAGGGUGCCGAGGACUUCCUGCUCAAGCCUAUCAGGCCUGCAGGGUAAUACCCAUCCAUCUGCAGCGCUGCCGAUAGCCUUAUUCUGCUCUUCAUCUUCCUGAUUUGAAUCACAUGAACAGAGCAAGCUGACCGACAUGGCCUCCAUAUGCUACACAUAUGCAGCUCAAGCAUACUCAGACUUGAUUCUUGUUGUCGCUCACGGUAUGACUUUGUUCCAGAAUAUCCAUUUAAUUAUGCUGUUACUUCAUUAUGCCGCACAUUUAUAUCUCCAAAUUCAGCAUAUCUUGAUGUCCCAAACUAUAGACGAAGAAUCAAAAAGUAGGGCUUUGCUGGAGUUUCACAAAAAGCCGUCAUGACAUUUUUCAAGGAAGCUUUGGA